UCUUGAAUUCAAAACAUCUACAAAUAAUAAACCCUCACCUUGUCCUCUAAAGUGCCCCUCAUUUAUUUUAUAAAAAUAUAUAUAGAAUAAAAAUUUGAAAAAAAUGUCACAUUUGAAAAAAAUAAAUUAAAUAAUAAAUCUACACAUUUAAUUAAAUUUCGUAAGAUCAUCGCAUAAUAUUCUAGAAAUCGUGAUGAAAGUUCUUCUGUUGAGCAUGGAUCAUGUGUGGAAUCCCAUACAAAACUGUGCUAGUAUUUCAUUGGUAAACAAACUGAAUAGGAUGCAAACCUUUGCAACGACUGUUGGGUUCCCAAUCGCCGCAUCUUCUAGGAUGUGAAGCCCAAGGAGCUCAAGUAAUUCACUAAUUGUGCUAUUGUGAAUUCUCGGUUGCUAUGACAGCCCAUCCUAGAAUAGCCCCUUGUGCCGAAUUCAACGUCUUCACUGGUAUUCUGUGCAAGCUGGAAUGAAGGCUUUGGAGUUAGCAUUGAUGGCCGGUGAUCAGCGGCCAAUCUCCACUGGUAUCACUCCUGGGGAGCUGCACAAGGAGCGGCGUAUUUCCAAGCGUCUCCUGAAAUGGUUCAGAUGCUCGGCUGGGUUGAGAGCGGCGUCUAGAGCAAGCUUUUACGUUUCCAGGCUAAGGCCUCCCCUCGUAUGAAAUGAGAGAGCGAAUAGCCAGUCACACAGGACAAAUUCUGGGAUUCAAGGAGCCAACACGAGAACUUUAACAGUGCCUUGCGAGUUAGCAGCUAACAUUGUUGGACCUUCACUCUUCCAACACACUGCACUA